rnacentral:lncRNA from 1 species
AGCAAUCAGCGAGACUCCGUGGGCGUAGGACCCUCCGAGCCAGGUGCGGGAUAUAUUCUCGUGGUGCGCCGUUUUUUAAGCCCGUCGGAAAGGCGCAGUAUUUGGGUAGGAGUGACCCGAUUUUCCAGGUGCCGUCCGUCACCCCUUUCUUUGACUCAGAAAGGGAACUCCCUGACCCCUUGCGCUUCCCAAGUGAGGCAAUGCCUCGCCCUGCUUCGGCUCGCGCAUGGUGCUCGCUCCCACUGACCUGCGCCCACUGUCUGGCACUCCCUAGUGAGAUGAACCCGGUACCUCAGCUGGAAAUGCAGAAAUCACCCGUCUUCUGCGUCGCUCACGCUGGGAGCUGUAGACUGGAGCUGUAGACAGGAGCUGUUCCUAUUCGGGCAUCUUGGCUCCUCCUUGACAAGCUUGAAGGUGAGCACCUCGAAGGGCUUCUUUUUAUGUUGAAAGGCACGGGUUUGCAUGGCGGUUCAUCAGAGGUCAAUACCCCAGUUUGAGAAAGUCCACUGUGGGGAGGAAAGAGAGACUU